UUGACCUCGGAUCACGUAGG
rnacentral:rRNA from 1 species